AUGAACUAUGCCGCUGUAAGAUCUUGGUGGGAGGAGGUCCUCGCCAACAACGCGCCACCGCGGAAAGCCUUGGCCUCAAUCCUACAUCUUGUUAGCUGGGAGAUUUGGAAGGAGCGAAAUGCACGUGUGUUCAGGACCAAGGCGGCACCGGUCGCAGUGAUCAUACAGAUGAUUAAGGAGGAGGCUUCUAUCUGGGCUCUGGCAGGAGCCAGGCAUUUGCGUAAUUUGAUACCGUGA
rnacentral:rRNA from 1 species